UGAGUGGUGUUUGGUUUGUUACGGGUGGUUGGCUCUUUGCUUGCGCAACAACUUCCACCUGGCAUACCUCUUCAGUCUUGCGUCAAUGCUUGUAUCGCAUUGAAUGCACGGUGGGUUUCUUGUGUUGCAUGCCUAAUUGAUGGUAUCAUUUGAUGAAUUGAUGUCCAUUUUCGUCUUGUGUUGCACAUGCGAUGUGAGAUGAACCUUGAUGCAGCCUUUGUGAUCCACUCUUUCGACGCACACGCAUUGAUUUUGUGGCCCAUUGAGUGUUGCUUGGUGUCACGGAUAUGGAACCUUUUGUGGGCAUGGGAUCUUACUAGUUCCUUGUUUGCCCUAGUUAAGCUUUUCAAAUACGAUUUCCUAUCAUGUCUUAACGUGGUAGGCAAUAUCGAU
rnacentral:misc_RNA from 1 species